GGGUUGUGAGGUUAAGUGACUAAGCGUACACGGUGGAUGCCUAGGCAGUCAGAGGCGAUGAAGGGCGUGCUAAUCUGCGAAAAGCGUCGGUAAGGUGAUAUGAACCGUUACAACCGGCGAUACCCGAAUGGGGAAACCCAGUGUGUUUCGACACACUAUCAUGUCAUGAAUACAUAGUGGCAUGAGGCGAACCGGGGGAACUGAAACAUCUAAGUACCCCGAGGAAAAGAAAUCAACCGAGAUUCCCCCAGUAGCGGCGAGCGAACGGGGAGGAGCCCAGAACCUGAAUCGGCUUGUGUGUUAGUGGAAGCGUCUGGAAAGUCGCGCAGCAAAGGGUGAUAGCCCCGUACACUAAAAUGCACAGGUCGUGAGUUCGAUGAGUAGGGCGGGACACGUGACAUCCUGUCUGAAUAUGGGGGGACCAUCCUCCAAGGCUAAAUACUCCUGACUGACCGAUAGUGAACCAGUACCGUGAGGGAAAGGCGAAAAGAACCCCGGCGAGGGGAGUGAAAUAGAACCUGAAACCGUGUACGUACAAGCAGUGGGAGCACCUUCGUGGUGUGACUGCGUACCUUUUGUAUAAUGGGUCAGCGACUUAUAUUUUGUAGCAAGGUUAACCGUAUAGGGGAGCCGUAGGGAAACCGAGUCUUAACUGGGCGAUUAGUUGCAAGGUAUAGACCCGAAACCCGGUGAUCUAGCCAUGGGCAGGUUGAAGGUUGGGUAACACUAACUGGAGGACCGAACCGACUAAUGUUGAAAAAUUAGCGGAUGACUUGUGGCUGGGGGUGAAAGGCCAAUCAAACCGGGAGAUAGCUGGUUCUCCCCGAAAGCUAUUUAGGUAGCGCCUCGUGAACUCAUCUUCGGGGGUAGAGCACUGUUUCGGCUAGGGGGCCAUCCCGGCUUACCAAACCGAUGCAAACUCCGAAUACCGAAGAAUGUUAUCACGGGAGACACACGGCGGGUGCUAACGUCCGUCGUGAAGAGGGAAACAACCCAGACCGCCAGCUAAGGUCCCAAAGUCAUGGUUAAGUGGGAAACGAUGUGGGAAGGCACAGACAGCCAGGAUGUUGGCUUAGAAGCAGCCAUCAUUUAAAGAAAGCGUAAUAGCUCACUGGUCGAGUCGGCCUGCGCGGAAGAUGUAACGGGGCUAAACCAUGCACCGAAGCUGCGGCAGCGACGCUUAGGCGUUGUUGGGUAGGGGAGCGUUCUGUAAGCCGUUGAAGGUGGCCUGUGAGGGUUGCUGGAGGUAUCAGAAGUGCGAAUGCUGACAUAAGUAACGAUAAAGCGGGUGAAAAGCCCGCUCGCCGGAAGACCAAGGGUUCCUGUCCAACGUUAAUCGGGGCAGGGUGAGUCGACCCCUAAGGCGAGGCUGAAAAGCGUAGUCGAUGGGAAACAGGUUAAUAUUCCUGUACUUGGUGUUACUGCGAAGGGGGGACGGAGAAGGCUAGGCUGGCCGGGCGACGGUUGUCCCGGUUUAAGCGUGUAGGGGGUGUGACCUGGUAAAUCCGGUUGCAUACUAACCCUGAGGCGUGAUGACGAUGCACUACGGUGCAGAAGUAGUUGAUGCCCUGCUUCCAGGAAAAUCCUCUAAGCUCCAGGUAACAUUAAAUCGUACCCCAAACCGACACAGGUGGUCAGGUAGAGAAUACCAAGGCGCUUGAGAGAACUCGGGUGAAGGAACUAGGCAAAAUGGUGCCGUAACUUCGGGAGAAGGCACGCUGGCAUGUAGGUGAAGUCCCUUGCGGAUGGAGCUGAAGCCAGUCGAAGAUACCAGCUGGCUGCAACUGUUUAAUAAAAACACAGCACUGUGCAAACACGAAAGUGGACGUAUACGGUGUGACGCCUGCCCGGUGCUGGAAGGUUAAUUGAUGGGGUCAGCCGCAAGGCGAAGCUCUUGAUCGAAGCCCCAGUAAACGGCGGCCGUAACUAUAACGGUCCUAAGGUAGCGAAAUUCCUUGUCGGGUAAGUUCCGACCUGCACGAAUGGCGUAAUGAUGGCCAGGCUGUCUCCACCCGAGACUCAGUGAAAUUGAACUCGCUGUGAAGAUGCAGUGUACCCGCGGCAAGACGGAAAGACCCCGUGAACCUUUACUAUAGCUUGACACUGAACAUUGAGCCUUGAUGUGUAGGAUAGGUGGGAGGCUUUGAAGCGUGGACGCCAGUCUGCGUGGAGCCAUCCUUGAAAUACCACCCUUUAAUGUUUGAUGUUCUAACUC
rnacentral:rRNA from 1 species